AGGCUAGGUCGAAGAAGGUGAGUAGCGUGCGCGUGAGCCCCUUGCAGAACGCACCGUAGGAGCUGCGUGUCGCCGCCCAACGCGACAGUCGCACUGCCAGGCCAGACAGGGCCGCCGCCGCAGCAGCAGCAGAGAGGGCCGCAGUCACCGCCAUUGGCCUGGCUCACCGCUCACCUGCUGCAGAGCCAGCUCAAUGCGCUGCGCCACGCCACCCCACUCUGUCCGCAACCCCGCCCAAGGGCUCCGGGUCCGUGCAGCCUUCAAUGCUCCACCCCCAGCACCGCCGCCUUUGUAGCUCUCCGCCCUCUCUCCAGACCUGCCGCUGCUCAGCUCCGCCCCCUCAAUGCAGGCUGGAGGCAGAANNCCUUCUGCUAGUUCCGCAGGGUCCACCGAAUCCAAUCCAAAGCCAGGUCAUCUCCAGAGAUGCAGGGAACUGUUCGGUCAUCUCUGCAAAAGUGAGGGCAAAACAGCCAAGGUUCCACAUUGCAGCGCGAUGCUUACGUUCAGUAGGUUAGGCAGAGUAAGUGCAUUUGUGUCUUAGGAUGUCUUCAACUUACAAUAGAUAUACAAUAGAUAUAACAACUAGAUAUAAGGAGUGUAAAUCAAAGAUAUUGAUAUGGAGUAGAGUGACCCCUCCAUCCUCAUUUUUAGUUUAUAGCACAUCUUUAGUUAUGCUUGAGGCUGUGCAUAUCCAUAUAAUUUUAGAAUCAACAAUCAAUUUUGUCUGUGAGUACAAAAAGGCAUUGCUGGAAAUUGUGUUAAAUAAAUAGACCAAUUUGGGGGAGAAACUGACAUCAUUUCUAUGCUGAUUGUACUAAGCCAUGAACAGAAUCUGUCUUUGUUCAUCAAGAUGGUUUUUUAUUUCUUUUAUUGGCAUUGAAAUCCUUUAUAUCAUUUAUACAUUUGUUAAAGGUACUCUAAAAUACUAAUUUUCUUUGAAGCCAUUAUAAAUGAUUUUGGACUUUUGAUCUCAGUUUCCAUAUGCUUGCUCAUUAUUAGUAUAUAGAAAUGUAUUAUGUGUGUAUGUAUAUGUGUACACAUGUCUAUGUAUUCCUGUGUGGUUACAUAGGCAUAUUCAUGCAUGCUUAUAUGUAGAGGCAAGAGGACAAACCAAGGAAGACUAUCCUCUUUGUUUUUUGGAUAGUCUCUUAAGGGUCAGAGGCCCUCCAAGUGGAUCAGAAGGCCAGAGAGCCCCAGGGAUCUGCCUGUCUUUGCCUCCCCAAGGUCUGGGAUUAAAAACAUAUGCCACUACCCAGUGUAAUGGCACAUGCCUUUGGUCCUCAGCACUCUGCAGACAAGGACAGGCAGACCUCUGCACGUUUCUGGCCAGCCUGGUCUACAUAACAAAUCCCAGGCUGGCGUGGUGGCACAUGCCUUUGAUCCCAGCACUGGGGAGACAGGCAAGUGGAUUUCUGAGUUCGAGGCCAGCCUGGUCUACAAAGUGAGUUCCAGGACAGCCAGAGAUAUACAGAGAAACCCUGUCUCGAAAAAAAAAAAAGUCCCAGGCCAGUCAUGCCGUCAUGCCUACCUAUAUGCUUCACAUACAGUUGAGGCUAUCUACAACAAAACCUCCAACAAGCCAAAAGCAAGCAAACAAGCAAGCAAACCCCCUCCUUGUUCCUCCAUGCCUGACAUUUUACAUGUGUUCUGGAGAUGUGACUCAGGUCCUCUCCCUUUGUGCUUUACUUUCAGAGCCAUCCUCCUACCCUUGAAAUAGAAAUUUUGGCGUGUUCAUCUUGUGUCCUCAGCACUGGGAAACUUUGUAACUAGUAUAUCCCAUCAUGUACGAAUUAGGGCAGUUCUUUUUGUCCUUUCUAAUCUUUAUAUCCAUUCCUUGUCUCAUUGCAGUGGCUAGAACUCACAGUGUUAGGCAGAGUUAGCUUCCCCAAUGGAUGUGUAGCAACAAAUGCAUUUCCUAAGUCACUGAUGCUGAAUAUCUUUAGAAUUAUUAUUAUAAUAAACUUUCAUAUAUCU
ensembl:antisense